UGCAUUUUUCUUACUUUCUGCAGAAUUUCCUGCAAAAUUUUACUGUAGUUUAAGCUGCGUUUCCUGCAGAUUGUGUUCACAGACCAAUGGGAGACAAGUAUUUCUUCAUCAACAGGUUUAUUCGCCAUCAAUUGGUCUAGCUGGUGUUUUUCGUAUGCUCAGCUUAUGUCACAGCUGCGUAAGAACACGUUCGCUUUUAAUCAUGAUGGGUAUUUCUUUUCGGAAUAUCAAAGGUCAAUGUUGAUGUGUUUCAUAAGAUUUGUGGUGGCGGGAUUAUCGUCAUUAACUAAUUACUUGAUAUCAGAUUUUAAUGGGGAGUGACUGGUGUAAUUCCUGCACGACUGUUGACUUUCAUUGUAAUUGCCUGAGCUGGUUCCUGUGCCGCCUCAGAUAGCAGGAUGGUGUGUCAAGUAUCAACUUGACAGGAAGGCUUUCCGGUUAUGACUGAGGCCGGCAUCUCACCUGUCCUGGCUACGCCAAAUCACUGCGGAUGCCGGAUGCCGAGGACCGGAGAGCCAACCGCUUUGAGGCGUGAGCUCUGUGGCGUGGCUCGAGUGACGGCUACGGCGCCGUCGACCUGGUUGAAUAGCUGGGGCCUGGACGAGGGUGCCCUUAGUACGGUGGCCAAUCGGUUACGUCCGAGGGGCGCUCGAACACGCUGCCGUCGCGUGGCUGCCGGCGGCCGCCCCCUCGCACGUGAAUCUUCUGGAGCGAGGACUGCGAGAGGCGGCCGCAUCAUCACCUGUGUCCGCGCUCAACACCGUGCCACGCACUAAUGGCGGAAGCCCGACUUUCUCCGAUGGAGGAGAGAAGCUGGACGCUGGCUGCCAGGCUGUUGGGGAGGGCGCUGGCUCUACCAUCAGGGGACCCCCUGCGCGCGACCGCCAAGGCCUCGGCACCGGCGCGCCUGUCUUCGGUCCGAGGCUGGAGAUUGCGAGGCCGCCAGGCCUGGGCGAGAGCGAGAAUCCCACCGUGUCAACAGAAGGCUGGCGUCACCUUCCGGUUGGACGUGUGCCCGAUCCGGGCUGGGGCCACGGCGGCGGAAAGGGAAAGCGUGGCUACGCUGCACCUCGCGUUCCUGCCCCUGUGUGCUGUCCGGCUUUGGACGUACGGAUCUGCGGAGGGCGGAGUCUUCAGGUGCUGGGCGGGAGCCGUGCUGGUCUGGCUGUAUUUGUAUUUGUAUUUGUAUUUACAUUUAAGAGCAAUCCACAUACAAAGUGCGUGGCGAUUACUGCUCAGAAUCCGUAUCCGCGGCUGCUGAUCUAAUCAUUCAAAACAUUUGCACAUUCACUCACGUCAAAACAAGGACAAGGCUGGACGAAGAGGCCGAGGAACUGCGGGCCCCGGCCGGAGAGCUGUGCUUUAGCUACCGCGCGGAGAUGGUGGCGCUGGUGACCGGUCCGGAGACCCUACUCGGAAGAGACAGAGACCAGGACCUGCGUUCCGUACCUAUCUGCUAACUGUGCGGUGGUGCUGGUGUAGUGCAGCAUUUUUGGAUGGAUAGCUACAUUUCACGAUUAAAUAGCUGUUACGUUUCAGUGCAGGUGGCGUGACGAACAAUGUGGUAGUUAUCUGUUGGCCACUUCUGCGGCCGCUGCUAUUUCCUACUCGAAGGCGGGCGCGCUGUUUGGCUGGGCCGCCAGGAUGUUCCCA
rnacentral:lncRNA from 1 species